rnacentral:rRNA from 1 species
UAGAUACCCUGUUAUACUAAGUAUAAACAAAAUUCCGCUUGAGUAGUAACAAGUUAUGAGCUCGAAACUUAAAGGAUUUGGCGGUAUUUAAGCCUGGUUAGAGGAACCUGCUCUAUAAACGAUAUGCCACGAAUAAUCUUACUUUAUCUUGUCUUCAGUUUGUAUACCUCCAUUAUAAGUUAUAUCCCCAGAAAUUCUCUAUAAUAAAAGUUUUUUAGUAUAUUAGGUCAAGGUGCAGCUAAUGAUAAAGUAGCUGUGGGUUACAAUAUAUCAUAUAUAAAUGGAUGAAUUUGUGAAACAACAGUCUGAAAUUGGAUUUAAUUGUAUUUUUAAAAUAAUAAGUUAAAAUGAUAAUAGCUCUAAAAUAUGCACACAUCGCCCGUCGC